rnacentral:rRNA from 1 species
GGAUGCGAUCAUACCAGCACUAAAGCACCGGAUCCCAUUAAAACUCCGAAGUUAAGCGUGCUUGGGCGAGAGUAGUACUAGGAUGGGUGACCUCCUGGGAAGUCCUCGUGUUGCAUUCC